AAAGAAUUAGUUUAAAAAAUACAUUAAUAUGUCAUAUUAAAAUUAUUAGAUUUCUAAUAUUCUUUU
rnacentral:tRNA from 1 species